GGGGCUCCAGGUUUGAUUGAUAACAUCUAAGCAGACUGAACCUGACAUCUCAUCCACAUUCGGAUGGUAAAUCUUGUUAACAAAACCAAUGGAUGGUGACUUGUAAGGAUAGGCAUCUGGGAGCUCUACCCUCACUUUCCACACACCUCCCAGGUAAGGACUCUCUUUGGGUCCAUGAAAUUCCACAAAAAAUUCUUGCAUUCCGUCAUUGAUCAUCUCCACUUUGUAGUCACUCAUCAUCAGUUUCAUCAAGUCCAUCUCUCUGCGUUUGCUAGGGGAAGACAUGAUUCCGAUUACUUCCUUAUUCUUUCUUCCUUUUUUCUUCUUUUUUUCCUCUUUUUUUUGCUUUUAUCGAUUGAAU
rnacentral:misc_RNA from 1 species